rnacentral:rRNA from 1 species
AUUGAACGCUGGCGGCAGGCCUAACACAUGCAAGUCGAGCGGCAGCGGAAAGUAGCUUGCUACUUUGCCGGCGAGCGGCGGACGGGUGAGUAAUGUCUGGGAAACUGCCUGAUGGAGGGGGAUAACUACUGGAAACGGUAGCUAAUACCGCAUAACGUCGCAAGACCAAAGAGGGGGACCUUCGGGCCUCUUGCCAUCAGAUGUGCCCAGAUGGGAUUAGCUAGUAGGUGGGGUAACGGCUCACCUAGGCGACGAUCCCUAGCUGGUCUGAGAGGAUGACCAGCCACACUGGAACUGAGACACGGUCCAGACUCCUACGGGAGGCAGCAGUGGGGAAUAUUGCACAAUGGGCGCAAGCCUGAUGCAGCCAUGCCGCGUGUAUGAAGAAGGCCUUCGGGUUGUAAAGUACUUUCAGCGGGGAGGAAGGCGUUGUGGUUAAUAACCGCAGCGAUUGACGUUACUCGCAGAAGAAGCACCGGCUAACUCCGUGCCAGCAGCCGCGGUAA